AGCUUGGCGCAACUCACACAACUUAGCAACUGUUUAAAGUUUGUCAUAGGAAAGCUUUGGUGAAUUCAGCCUCUCAUCCUCUAUUUAUGUGUGUCUAAUGCAAAUAUAGGUGGGGAAGUCAUCAUUGCUUUGCUUCCUUGUUGAAGAGGCUACAGAGCAAACAGUAUGAACAUCAUUUGACAAGCAAAACUGAAGCAAAUGUUCCUGAACUCCAGACCAAACUUCUGACCAGACUGAUAUACACGCUCAGUAAAGAGGAGGAGACAUGCUGUACGUUUCUGUCGCCAUUUCGAAGAAGCGCAGACAGUCAUCGGUUGGAGCUCAGAGCUGAUCUGCUGUACUGAACAUAGUUUCAGUUCAUAAAGAAUGAAAAGAUUGCUGACAAACUGCUGUGGGAAAUGCCUGCAAUUCCUUCUUCCACUAAAGAACUGGACACUGUCUGAUGGAUGUGGCUGACAGGCUGCUCUUGUUGUCUAAACUGAAGUGUGACGGAUCUGAGAGGAGCUCGAUGAAGAGCGGUCCUCUCGCGGUAUAUGUGUCAGUAAAGAUCUAUAAAACCACAGUAUGUGAGCAUCACUCUGAACUCCAGUUAAUCCAGUAUGGAUGGUUACAGUGUUUCCCUCCAGCUCCUGCAGUCUGACAACCUCUUCUCCAGCUGAGCACAGCAGACCUGAAACAGUAGUGAGUUCAGCAGUCUGCCAUAUGAAAGGAACAGGUCAGUCAUCAGUUCCAUUUACUUAAACUCAGGGGAAAAUAUUUUAAUACUUCUUUAUUUAUUUUACUGUUUAGUAGCACCCCUACAUGUGUUAAACCACACCCAUACAUGUAUUAAACCACACCACUCUUUGAUAAAUGUAAGUGUUCGAACAAUAAUUGAAAUAAAAAAUGUUUUUAUAAAGAUGAAAGAUUUUUUCUUUAUGUUCCAAGACCUUCCUUAGAAUAUUUGUUCAUCUUAUGGACGCUCUGUA